rnacentral:rRNA from 1 species
UUGUCUUUUAAAUAAAGACCAGUAUGAAUGGCAAGACGAAAGUUCAACUGUCUCCCUAAAUUAAUCAAUGAAAUUGAUCUUCCCGUGCAGAAGCGGGAAUAAAAUUAUAAGACGAGAAGACCCUAUGGAGCUUUAAACAUAUGAUCAUUGCAAUACUAAUUCAAAUAUUAAAUAAAACAUUAUGAUCAAAGUUUUAGGUUGGGGCGACCACGGAGAAAAACAAAACCUCCGAGAUGAAAAGAAUAUCUUAAUUUAAGAAAUACAAUUCUAAAAAAUAAAAUAUUUAACAUAAUUGAUCCAAUAUAUUGAUCAACGAACUAAGUUACCCUAGGGAUAACAGCGCAAUCCUUUCUAAGAGCCCCUAUCGACGAAUGGGUUUACGACCUCGAUGUUGGAUCAGGACAUCCUAAUGGUGCAGCCGCUAUUAAAGGUUCGUUUGUUCAACGAUUAAAGU